UAACACCCUUUUCAACAGAUAAAAACCUUCCUAGCCGAAUUUCAGCCACGGCGGCCAUCCUCAACGGAGAUCAGUCAGGAAGGCACGAGAUAUUAUAGAGCAAAAGUGUGGGCGCAAUACAUCAGUGCACUCGCUGAUCACAGUGCAGUCACCGUAAUUUGAAAUGAUUGGAGAGAUAUCAGGCGCAGGACCAACGGCUUUACUUGCUUUCUGAGUUUAAUACCCGACUUAACAGUCAACUUUUUGCCUUCAUCUUCCGCAAGUGACGAAGUUAUCUCGUUAAAUGCACCAAGAGUUUGCGGGACAAGAGCCUUAGUUGGCAGAAGCCGGCCAGUGUAAGAAGACCUCUCGCGCACUUCGAUCUGAUGUCCAAGUUAUGGGUUUUGUACAUGCCUACAGCUCAAGCAUAUAUGGACGAUUAUUUCAUUGCAGAAUUUAAGCCAUUAUCACAGUCCGCACUCAAGUUAUCAGGGUCACAAAUAUGUCGGAACCCUGAAAUAUCAAGUAUCCUAACUUUCCUGAACCUCCGUCAAACUGUCCACGAAGAAAAAGGGCUUUUUUAUUAAAUCAGGAAGUUUAGCACUCGGCCCGCCGUCGAUCGACGUAUAAAUUAUUAUUUGAAUUUGAAAUCUGAGGAGUUUCAAUUUUUUCCCCUUUUAUUAGUUCGAUAUUUCCGUAAAGUGAUACACAAUUCUUUUUUAUAAAAGUACGGGUAAAUAAUCAAGUAGGUCAACGGAUUUUGGUCGGUGCGAACCUUUGUGGAAUCGUUUGUGAAAUGUAAACCUUUAGAAGAACUAUAUUAUUUACUAGAUUCUUAGUAUUUUUAAGAAAUAUUGUUUUUCAAGAGUGCUAUCUUAUUUACACUUUUUGAUACCUUGGUUAGGAAAAACUUAUGAUUGUUUUAUUUACGAUUCAGUAAUGAUAAGAUCUCUCAGGUUGACAUCAAGACAUUCGACAGUAAAACCUAAGAGAAAUUGUUUUUUGAUAGCUGAAUUAAAUGACGCAGGUUGAAGAAGUUAUACUAAUGUUUGAUGUAAAUGAAAAAAUAGAAGCUAAACACACUUCAUUAAGGCAGCUAGAAGAAAUAUAUGCUGAAAUAUAUUUAAAACAUAAAAGCAAAAGAAAGCUUACUUCCACUACACGUCCAGUUUACAUAAUAUUAAUUGCAUUUCCAAGAUGUCCCGGCUUGGGUUGGAAACAAUAGCUCAAGUGCAUCGCUCCGUAGGCCAGAGAACGUACUCUGUCGUAAUGAGAAUGGUUCAUUAUAACACGAAGCUAGUGAGAUAAUAUAAAUAAAUUACUUUUGUUGGAUAGUUUUGUGUCUUAAGUGUGGAAGUUGAGAGAUGGUUUGACUCGAAGGUGGUUUUUGAAUAAGUAUAUUUUAUAGCAUAACUGACAUAAUUAGACUCUAAAUUAUUGUUCAUUUAUUAUGUAUGAAAGACAUCCUAGGUCAUGAUGAAAUGUUCGAAGUUGGAUUUUGUAUUAUAUUAAUUGAGUUUGGAUUCCGUUGGCUACUACGUUAAUAAGUAAAAAAAUAUGGGGUUUUUAAAUAAAGUUUAAUUUUUAAGUGGUUGAUUAUUAUAAAUUGUAUCCAUAAUGAGUUUUAUGAUGACCACAUUCAACUUAAUAUUCAACUACCACCUCGAUUUUUUUUUACUUUGAAUUUUAAACAUAUCUUUCUUACAUAAGAAUGCUAUACUUUGU